UACGUAGGGGGGCAAGCGUUGUCCGGAAUCAUUGGGCGUAAAGAGCGUGUAGGCGGCUCGAUAAGUCUGCUGUGAAAGUCCAGGGCUCAACCCUGGAAGGCCGGUGGAAACUGUCGGGCUAGAGUCCGGAAGAGGCGAGUGGAAUUCCCGGUGUAGCGGUGAAAUGCGCAGAUAUCGGGAGGAACACCAAUUGCGAAGGCAGCUCGCUGGGACGUUACUGACGCUGAGGCGCGAAAGCCAGGGGAGCGAACGGG
rnacentral:rRNA from 1 species